AUUGAACGCUGGCGGCAGGCCUAACACAUGCCAGUCGAACGGUAACAGGAAGAAGCUUGCUUCUUUGCUGACGAGUGGCGGACGGGUGAGUAAUGUCUGGGAAACUGCCUGAUGGAGGGGGAUAACUACUGGAAACGGUAGCUAAUACCGCAUAACGUCGCAAGACCAAAGAGGGGGACCUUCGGGCCUCUUGCAAUCGGAUGUGCCCAGAUGGGAUUAGCUAGUAGGUGGGGUAACGGCUCACCUAGGCGACGAUCCCUAGCUGGUCUGAGAGGAUGACCAGCCACACUGGAACUGAGACACGGUCCAGACUCCUACGGGAGGCAGCAGUGGGGAAUAUUGCACAAUGGGCGCAAGCCUGAUGCAGCCAUGCCGCGUGUAUGAAGAAGGCCUUCGGGUUGUAAAGUACUUUCAGCGGGGAGGAAGGGAGUAAAGUUAAUACCUUUGCUCAUUGACGUUACCCGCAGAAGAAGCACCGGCUAACUCCGUG
rnacentral:rRNA from 1 species